UGUUACGGCCAUAUCACGUUGACAGCACCGGUUCUCGUCCGAUCACCGAAGUUAAGCAACGUCGAGCCUUGUGAGCACUUGGAUGGGUGACCGCUUGGGAAACCUAGGUGCCGUAAGCG
rnacentral:rRNA from 1 species